rnacentral:rRNA from 1 species
AUUGAACGCUGGCGGCAUGCCUUACACAUGCAAGUCGAACGGCAGCACGGGAGCAAUCCUGGUGGCGAGUGGCGAACGGGUGAGUAAUAUAUCGGAACGUGCCCAGUCGUGGGGGAUAACGCAGCGAAAGUUGUGCUAAUACCGCAUACGAUCUAUGGAUGAAAGCGGGGGAUCGCAAGACCUCGCGCGAUUGGAGCGGCCGAUAUCAGAUUAGGUUGUUGGUGAGGUAAAAGCUCACCAAGCCUGCGAUCUGUAGCUGGUCUGAGAGGACGACCAGCCACACUGGAACUGAGACACGGUCCAGACUCCUACGGGGGGCAGCAGUGGGGGAAUUUUGGACAAUGGACGAAAGUCUGAUCCAGCAAUGCCGCGUGCAGGACGAAGGCCUCGGUUGUAACUGCUUUGUACAGAACGAAAAGUACUUUAAUAACACUAGAGGCUCAUGACGGUAC